rnacentral:rRNA from 1 species
CCUACGGGUGGCAGCAGUGGGGAAUAUUGGACAAUGGGCGAAAGCCUGAUCCAGCCAUACCGCGUGUGUGAAGAAGGCCUUCGGGUUGUAAAGCACUUUCAGUGGGGAAGAAAGCCUUGGGGCUAAUACCCUCGAGGAAGGACAUCACCCACAGAAGAAGCACCGGCUAACUCCGUGCCAGCAGCCGCGGUAAUACGGAGGGUGCGAGCGUUAAUCGGAAUUACUGGGCGUAAAGCGCGCGUAGGCGGUCUGAUAAGCCGGUUGUGAAAGCCCCGGGCUCAACCUGGGAACGGCAUCCGGAACUGUCAGGCUAGAGUGCAGGAGAGGAAGGUAGAAUUCCCGGUGUAGCGGUGAAAUGCGUAGAGAUCGGGAGGAAUACCAGUGGCGAAGGCGGCCUUCUGGACUGACACUGACGCUGAGGUGCGAAAGCGUGGGUAGCAAACAGGAUUAGAUACCCCUGUAGUC